UUACUCUCAACCAUGUCUUCGAUUCGAUUCGAGGCAUGGCUUGGAUUUGGGAGCUUGCCGGCCUUGUGGUCGACUCUCCUUAAAUGCAUUAGCGAAAUGGGACGCGUCAGUGGGUCCGGCGGGCAAUCGAUAGCCUUUCGACGUGAUAACGAUCGUAUGUCGGAGUCGAGGCUCGCGCGUCGGGCGUAAGACAUGUUCUCUUUUGCUUCCAAUCCCCAACCUGCUUUAGCUAGUAGUCGGUCGAUCCGACCUUCGAACGCAAAGAGCAGACCAUCGACCA
rnacentral:misc_RNA from 1 species